GAUGAACGCUGGCGGCGUGCUUAACACAUGCAAGUCGAACGGGGGACAUUUUAAAGAAGCUUCGGCAGAUUUAGCUUGUUCCUAGUGGCGGACGGGUGAGUAACGCGUGGGUAACCUGCCUCACACUGGGGGAUAACAGUCAGAAAUGACUGCUAAUACCGCAUAAGCGCACAGAGCUGCAUGGCUCAGUGUGAAAAACUCCGGUGGUGUGAGAUGGACCCGCGUUGGAUUAGCCAGUUGGCAGGGUAACGGCCUACCAAAGCGACGAUCCAUAGCCGGCCUGAGAGGGUGGACGGCCACAUUGGGACUGAGACACGGCCCAGACUCCUACGGGAGGCAGCAGUGGGGAAUAUUGCACAAUGGGGGAAACCCUGAUGCAGCGACGCCGCGUGAAGGAAGAAGUAUCUCGGUAUGUAAACUUCUAUCAGCAGGGAAGAAAAUGACGGUACCKACUAAGAGCCCGWUUCG
rnacentral:rRNA from 1 species